rnacentral:RNase_P_RNA from 1 species
GCCGACCGGUCUGUCGCUGGUAUGUCUUGCAUACAAGAGGAAAGUCCGGGCAACGCAGAGCAUCCUACUUCCUAACAGAAAGCUGUCCGUGAGGGUGGAGUAAUGCAGAAGAAAACAACCGCCUUUCCCCGGUGAAAGGUAAGGGUGAGAAGGUGGGGCAAGAGCCCACCAGCCGCAUAGCGAUAUGCGGGCUGUGCAUCUUAGGAGUUGUAAGGUCAUGUAAACCGGCAUAAAGAGGAUGGCUCGUCCGACGUCGGAGGGUAGACCGCUGGAGCUGUCUGGUGACAGGCGGCGUAGAUAAAUGACAGACACCCCGCCUUGCGCAGGGAUACAGAACCCGGCUUAUAGGCCGACUGC